rfam:Blastomyces gilchristii SLH14081 genomic scaffold supercont1.2, whole genome shotgun sequence.
GCGGUUUUUGAGGAUGUCUUUUGUCCGCUUUCAAACGCCCUCCAGCUGCAUCUAGCUUUAUCUUCAGUGCAGUUGGAGAGGAAACAAAAACUAGUC